rfam:Actinophytocola xinjiangensis strain CGMCC 4.4663 contig39, whole genome shotgun sequence.
GCUGCGCCGGCCCUCCGGGACCGGCGAGGAUCGCAAC